rnacentral:lncRNA from 10 species
CUGAUGCGAAACAUCCAGAAAAGGCCCCCGACUGAAAACAUUUCCCUGAAUGCAUGCCUCAGUAAAGUGGGUAGAUCCAUAAUUCUCUCCAUAAUCUGGUAGAGGGAAAAACAAGUAUUAUGAUUCAGCACCUAAUGUGUCAGAUUUCAAAAUAAUAUAAUUUUCUUACUAUAUGUAAACAUUGUUAAGAUGAAUUAAGGAGUUACACAUUAAUUGAACAUAUUUUCUAAUUAUGUGUUGUAUUUAAAAAUAGCUCUUUGAAUACUAGUUCUUACAGAAUAGAUCUUAUUGCAGAUAAUUGAAAGGCAACUAAAGUGUCAACAAGCUUAAAAUACGGGAUAUAGUAAUGCAAAACUCAAGUAACAUCUGAUUUGAGUUAGUAAAAUAAACCAAAGAACCUAGCGCGCAGGAUUAGAGUCUGAGACUUGAGCUUAAGUCUCAGCUUUAAAGUCAGACAGAUCUGGGUUUGAAUUCAAAAUCAAUCACUUACUAGCCAGGUGAUCUUAGGAACAGUUGCUUAACCUACUAGAGAUAAUUCAACAACUAACUGUGUAUUUAUGUGCAAGGACUGUUAAGAACGAAAAGGUUCCCUGGCAAGCGGACUAAAAAUUCAAAAGAAAAAAAUAACUAAAAGAGAUACUGUGUAUGAAAGACCUUUAUAACUUGCCAGACAAUAUAGAAGUGAUUAUACAUUAAAGACAUAGGAACUUUGAUGGCUUAAAUAGUUUAAGAAUAGCAGUGAAACUGAUUCCUUCUGGUGAAUCACUUCCUCUGGUCAUUUCUCUGCUAUGUUUAACAAUCUGUGUAACAGUCAUACACGCAAACUCUAGAUAGGCGUUUUAUGUAACAAGUGCCAAAUAAGUUGAGAGGGAGAUGGAGACAAAAACGCAAAGAACUGAGCAAGUGAGGAGAAAAUAGUUUUUGAAACCCCCAGACUAAGAGAAAAUCAUCUUGUGACUCCUUUUGGAACAAUGCUCACCGAAGUACAAGAAUGGUUGUUUCAUAAUCACUUCCUAUGUUCUGUGGAAGAACUAAUAUCUAAAGCAAAACAGCCUUACAGCUUUCACAAAGUUUAUAGUAAAUGACUUUAGAUACUCUAACAAACAGCCAGCAUGUCUUUUGAAUACCCUUCUGUCCUUUUUCAGAGCUAUUUUGUUCACUUGUAAUACAGUAUCAUCAUUUAUACAAAAUCUUUAAUAAUUAGACCAGAAAUAAUGAAAUGGUUUAGUAAGAAAUGUUUCUGCAUAAACUUACUCCAACUUUGAAGGAGGCAGAAUAUUAAAGAGCUAAAUGCCUUUUUUAUAUUAUAAUUUCAUCACAUACCAGGCUUUCUUACUCAUUAAAUAUCUGACACAAAAAAUAAUAAUUGAGUAAUAGUAUGCUUCACAUUUUAAAAAUAAUGAAGGAAAAAUUCUAAAGGCUGGAUGCAGUGGCUCACACUGGUAAUCCCAGCACUUUGGGAGGCCAAGGUGAGCAGAUCGCUUGAAGCCAAGAGUUUUGAGAUCAGCCUGGAAAGCAGGGUGAAACCCCGUCUCUACUAAAAAUACAAAAAUUAGCUGGGCAUGGUGGCACACACCUGUAAUCCCAGCUAGUCAGGUGGCUGAAAUAUGAGAACUGUUUGAACCCAGGAGACAGAGGUUGCAGUGAGCCGAGAUCGCGCCAUUGCAUUCUGGCCUGGGCGACAGAGCGAGACUCUGUCUCAAAAAGAAAAGAAAUGAAAAGAAAAAUGUUAAAUGACUUUAUUAAAGUUUAGUGGUAGCUCUUAAAUUUGAAACAGGUUGCAUUUUUAAAGAACCAUCCUACUGAUGUCACCGGAGGAUAUGUAAAAAAAAAAUUGCUGGGUCAAAAUUGCAGAAGAGGCUCCCAAAUAAUUAUGGAGGACAACAUGAUUGGAUUAAGUUUUUUUUUUUCCUGCUCAAUGAAAAAUGGGUAAAUCUACCCAUUAUCAUCCAUAACAGUUGAAAUCUAUGCCCUGAAAUGUACACGACCUCACAGAACAAGGAACAAUGGAGCAUGAGCACAUGUCUGUUUAACACUGAAGCAUCUGAAUAGCUUAAUAUAUUCGGCUGGGAGCAGCAGUAUCAAUUCUUAUCUUAACAGUAAUUCAUUUAUUCAACACACAUUAAGGCACCAAAUUUGGCACUGUUGGAAACUCGGCAGUGGUAAAUAAAUAAAAAUGGUCCUUACCCUUAUGAAGCUUUUAGUUUACUGAGAGAAAGAUAAUGAACAAGAAUUGAGUGCUGUCUAUGAUAAACGCCAUGAAGGAAAGGUACAGAGGGCGCCACAGAGCAGGGAAAACUUCUCCAAGGAGGGUCUACUUAAGAUAGUUGUCAUUUAAAGACUGGGAAAUCACCAUAAGAGCAGAAGGACAAGCAUUCCAUGCAGAGGAAGUGUCAGGUGUGACAGCCUUAAGGUGGAAGGAGUUUGUGUGUGUGCUGAGAGCAUAGAGCAGGGUGGCUGCAGGGUGGUGAUUGAGGCGGUUAACAGAAAUUUGGAGAGGGAGGGAGGACCAGAUCAUGUGGCGCCCUGUAAGCCACAGUAAGGAGUUGGAACAUUCAAAGACAUUGGGCCACAAGUGGUGGCUCAUGCCUGUAAUCCCACCACUUUGGGAGGCCGAGGUGGGAGGACCACUUGAGCCCAGGAGUUUGAGAACAGCCUGGCCAACAUGGCGAAACCCCAUCUCUACAAAAAAUAUAAAAAUUAGCCGGGUUGUGGUGGCAUGCACCUGUAGUCCCAUCUACUUGGGAGGCUGAGGUGGGAGGAAGGCUUGAGCCCAGGAGGCAAACGUUGCAGCGAGCCAAGAUUGCACCACCGCACUCGAGCCUGUCUCAAAACAAACAAACAAAAUAGAAGUUUUCAAACACAAGAGCAUCAUGGUCUCAUUUAUGUCUAGAAAACAUGUAUCAGGCUGCUGUGGCAGGGAAAAAAGUAGAAGUGAGGAGGCCACUGUGGUUGCCGUGAGCAGAGAUGACAGGGCUGGACCAGCACAAUGUCUACAGUGAUUGAAAGAAGUGGACACAGGCUGGGCACGGUGGCUCACACCUGUAAUCCCAGCACUUUGGCAGUCUGAGGGGGUGGAUUGCUUGAGCCCAGGAGUUCAAGGCCAGCCUGGGCAGCAUGGCAAAACCCAGUCUCUAUAAAAAAUUAGCCGGGUGUGGUGAUGCACCCCUGUGGUCCCAGCUACUUGGGAGGCUGAGGCGGCAGGAUGGCCUGAGCUUGGAAGGUUGAGGCUGCAGUGAGCCGUGAUCACACCACUGCACUCCAGCCUGGGAAAGAGUGAGAAUCUGUCUCAAACAACAACAACAACACAGCCAAGACAUUUUUGUUCUUUUUGAGACAAGGUCUCACUCGAUCACCCAGGCUGGAGUGCAGUGAUGUGAUCCUGGCUCAUUGCAACCUCUGCCUCCCGGGCUCAAGCAGUCCUCCCACCUCAGCCUCCCAAGUAGCUGAAACUACAGGUGCACACCACCGUGCCUGACUAAUUUUUGUAUUUUUUGGUAGAGACAAAGUCUUGCUAAGUUGCCCAGGCUGGUCUCAAACUCCUGAGCUCAAGUGAUCUGCCUGCCUCAGUCUCCCAAAGUGCCAGGAUUACAGGCAUGAGCCACUGUGCCCAGCCAGCAAGAAUAUGUUGAUGCAGUAAAAAUAAUAGGACACCCCAAAAAUAGAAAGAAAAGGUAGGAUUACUUAUAGACCAGAUGAGAGGAAUGAAGAAGAGGAGGAAAUCAAAACUGAGAAAAGAACAGACUAUGUCAAGGAGGGAAUCAGCUCAAUACUCCACGUGUUAAGUUAGGGAUGUCUGUGGAGCACCCACGCUGAAAUGGAAGCGAAGCAGUUGGAUCUACAGAGUCUGGAGCUCAGAGGAGAGGUCUGGGCUGUCCAUAUAAAUUUGGAUUUAGUACAUUCUAGUUUUUGAAGUACUUAUUCAGUUUUACAUUUCUAAGAAUGUGUUAGAUUUUGAUAAAACAAGAAUGAGUCAGUAAAAUGUGCUAGUUUUUGAUUUAUCAAAUACUUCUAGGGUAAGGGGAAGAAAGGUUAUCUGUACAGUGUUCUGCUUUUAAAUAGCUAAGAUGACAUAUAAACAUAUCCCUCCAAACUUUUUUUUUUCUGAGACGGGAGUCUCACUCUGUUGCCCAGGCUGGAGUGCAGUGGCGUGAUCUCAGCUCACUGCAACCUCUGCCUCCCGGGUUCAAGUGAUUCUCCUGCCUCAGCCUUCCAAGUAGCUGGGACUACAGGCACAAACCACCAUACCCAGCUAAUUUUUGUAUUUUUAGUAGAGACAGGGUUUCACCAUGUUGAUCAGGCUGGUCUCAAACUCCCGAACUCAAAUGAUCUGCCCACCUCAGCCUCCCAAAGUGCUGGGAUUACAGGUGUGAGCCACUGUGCCCGGCCUAAACCUGGAAUUUUUUGGAGUUUCACUCUCGUCGCCCAGGCUGGAGUGCAGUGGCGUGAUAUCGGCUCACUGCAACCUCUGUCUGCCGGGUACAAGUGAUUCUCCAGCCUCAGUCUCCCGAGUAGCUAGGAUUACAGGUGCCUGCCACCACACUCAGCUAAUUUUUGUAUUUUUAGUAGAGACAGGGUUUCACCGUGUUGGCCAGGCUGGUCUCGAACUGCUGACCUCAGGUGAUCCACCCGCCUCGGCCUCCCAAAGUGCUGGGAUUACAGGCGUGAGCCACCGCCCCCAGCCAACCUGGAAUUUUUUUAAGGGAACAUUUCAAACAGGGCUAGGGCAAAUAGAAUAAACCACAACUGUGAAACUUAAAGUUUUCAGUUGUAACUUUUCUCAAAAGACAAAUGGUGUUUUAGUAUCACAAAGAAGUAAAUAAUUUUCUAUUUCCCUCUAAUUUUUUCUAUUGCUUUUCUGCUAGUUUCUCUUUCAUAAAAACUUUUAUAAUGCUGUUUGUUUUUUAAGAAAGAAAAUUGUAGUCCUUGGGAAAGGUGUAAUGUAGUGAUUGGCAGCAAUGAAGGUAAAAACUUGACCCAACACAUAUAAUGAGAUUUUUUUUUUUCUUUUUCUUUUCUUGUUUUUUGAGGAAGGGUCUCACUGCCACCCAGGUGGGAGUGCAAUAGUGCGAUCAUGGCUCACUAUAGCCUCA